rnacentral:lncRNA from 1 species
CUGAAAUGGUUGAGUGGGCUAUUUAUAGAAUUCUGAAUCUACAUUCACUCGCCUCGCGAGCUACUUCAUUCGCCAUGGCGAGUUGAAGUUUCUUCCCCAUUGGGUUUGUGCCACGUCAGCAGUGAGAAGCUUAAACCGCCCUAACUCGCCUCGCGAGUACUUUCCCUCGCCGUGGCGAACAAACUCGCCUUCUACUCGCCAUUGCGAGUUGGUGGCGUGUAAUCUCUGUUGGCUACUGGAAUUGCUCGCCUUCUACUGGCCAUGGCGAGUUAGAGGCGAGUAACCUUCAUUUUUCAGCCUUUUUGUACUUUUCUUCAUUUUUGCUCUUUGCUUGAUGUCUUGAGUUCAAAUCCUGCGCAAAUGGGUGAAGUAAG